UUCAAGCCAUAUCACCCUGCAACUCACAACUGGCAACCCACUGAAGCUAAGCAGGUGUGAGCCUGGUCAGUACCUGGAUGGGAGACCUCCUGGGAAAAACUAAGGUUGCUGCUGGAA
ensembl:rRNA 5S_rRNA 5S ribosomal RNA